UAUCUAAUUAAGGUGCAUAUCUGUUUUAGUUUCUUCAUCUCUGGUGUUCUUUUUUAGCUUGUAGGCUUUGGUCGUCUGUUAUUAUCUGCUUACUUUUCCUUGGUUGUAGUUUGAUCCUAUGUUGGGAAUCAUGAAUGCUAAUUAACACACUUUUUGUUCAUGAGAACUUGAGACCUGAAUGUGUCGAUUCUUCCAUAUUAUACAUUAGAUAGGACAUAACGAAUAGUUUUAUUGCAUUCCAUUUGACAAUUCAUAGCUAACAUGAUUACAUAACUAAUUAUUUUAAUUUGUGGCGUUUGAUUAUUUCGAGUUCUACAGAUGGUGCAUUAUUGGUUAAACCAGCUGAAUAAAUGGACUAACUCUUUGAAUUUAACGAGUAGAAGACACUCAGCUGACAAACUGCUAGAGGCCACUUUAGUGCCUGCAACAGUACCAACAUGCCUGAUGGUUGGUCCAACAUAAUGAAAAAGCUGGAUGGAUAGGUGAAGACAGUGGCCAUGUUGCUAAAUACUGUUAAAAUCACAUUUUGUAUGUAGUAUAGUUAUGACUGUUAAAUACAGUCUCCCUUUAGCCUGUUAUACUUUGCUUUAUAAAGCAUCCUAACAAAACCUUUAAGUAUACAAAAACAUAUUCCAUAA